CCGGUUUUUAUUCAGUACCAACAAAACCAUUGGAGUACCUGCGUUCUAUUCAUAACGUGUGAAUAUGGAAAUUCACAACGAUUAUAUGUGGAAGGGUUCUAGCAGGGAUUCUCUUCCCUUCCGCCGAAAAUCACCGAGGAUCUAUUCAGGGUGGAACUAACUCACAUCGAGGUUUGCUCGAGCUCGCUCAGCACAUAGCUGAACAAGGUCCGGACGACCGCUGUUAUCUGCGUACACUGGUCCAAAUUAUCUGCACUGACCAGAAGAGGCUCAUCUACGACACGAGGACGAUGAAGGAGUGCAACAUUCAGAUAUUUUUAGAUAUUUUACGGCCAGUUCAGAUCAGACAAGAAAGGGUCAUCUAGCAAAGGUUAUCGGGAUGUCAAUCUUUUUGUCAAACAAGUAGAUGGGAAAAAUGUUACUGAUUCAGAGAAAUUGAGAUUUUGACUUGGAGAAGGCCCAGCUUGACCUAAGGCAUGGCUACAACAGGGCUGAGAUGAAGUUCAAUGUGAAUCGUGUUGAUAACAUGGUGAUCUAGGCAAUCUUUCUAUUGGAUAUGCUUAACAAGGACAUCAAUUCCUUCUCCAUGAGAGUCAGCCCCUCAAAUCAACUUUGGAACCCAAAUGGUCAAGCCUUU